UGCGGAUUGGUUCUUUCUGCUCC
rnacentral:miRNA from 1 species